AAGAUGGUUUUAAAUAGUGUCAUUAAAUUAUAAAAGUAGAAGUUAACGACGUUAUCUAGAGACGUGUUUUUAUUUCGUAGGUAUGUAACGGCGGUUUAAACCGUCUCUAUGUAUAAUUAAAGGUGAAAAGGGAAAUCUUUAAAUCUUUUUCACGAUGCUCUCACGUUCAGUUUAUCAUUUUCACAGCUUUCUCUUCCAUGCUUUCUCUUUGAUGCUUUCUCUUCAUGGAUGAAGAAGUUUAAAUAGAUUCAUCGAGUAAUUGAUUCAACGAUGCUUACUCUUAAUGCACAAUCUUCUUCCUUACUGAUUUUUUCAUCGAUUCAGAAACUUAUACAGAGUUAUUCUUCAUGGUGCUCAAAGUUCAGAUUACUGCCUCGAGAAUCGAUUGUGAGGUUUCUAUCAGGGAGUGUUAGCUCACUUGCUAGUGCUUACUCUCCUCCUCCAUUUGCAGAUCUCAUUUUCUUUCUUAGUCUUGAAUCAUUAUUUCAUUAAGGUAUUAUACUCUUUUUAGUUUAUUUAUUGUUAGUCUUCUGUGUUACAAUGAGCUUGCUUUCAAAGGGAAUGAACAAAUUUAGAAAAGGGACUGUUAUGUGGACUUUUUAGCUAGAAUUUGUGCAUUUUGUUUCCAUCUACUUUAUCAUUUACCUGUAAGUGACAGAUUGCUGUAAUUUUCAACUCUCUAGAGGCCAAUGGGAAUUUACUGGUUACUUUGAUAUAUUCUCACAAGUUGAACCAGUGGCAAGCAUGAGGACAACACCUUGAUCUGCAUGAUUCUCCUCUCUUAGCUCUAGCAGCUACUGAGUGUCAGUUACUCGAAGCAGAAUAUGAGGAAUAUGCAAUUGCUAAUAGUAGUAGUAUCGCUUGUCUUCGAUCGGUUGUCCUAAUUGAAACCAAAAAUAUGCACAGGGUUUAGAAACGUACUAUGAACGGAUUAUGUCUAGCCCUAAUUUGGUGCUUCACAUGGAGCUUCUCUGCUAAUAUCUAUUGUAUCCUACUUUUUCAGGACUGAAACUUGCGGCUGAGAUUGGAACUCCAAAUAUUGCUAAAUCAGGGGAUACAAAAUAAACGUACAAAUAAAAAAGCUUCAUCGGUUUCAGAAGGUCAAAAGAAUGAGGGAAACAUUAUAUUCUGCUCUUCUUCUCCAGGAUUCUGCCAUUUGUACCAGCUGAUGAGAAAGUGAUUAUUUUUAAGUUGCUUGCCUCGUUAGGGAACAAAGGUGCUGUUUGGACUUGGCUUAUCUAGCCAUGGAUGCUAUCGGAUUGUAAUAUAAUUGUGAGACGCACUACUCCCAUCAGCUAAUUUAUAGCAUGGAUGUCUUACCCAAGUGUUGAUGCUAUAAAUGAUCCCGUCAUGGGAAAAUCAAGUGCGAGGCUCAAGUUGUUAGUGCCAGAAGUGUUUUUAUUCGCAGGAACCGCUGUCUGAUAAAAAAAUUCCAUACAUGGCUCACAAAAACAGAAGACUUGCCAAAUCAAAGGAAGAAACAUUAAGAGAGCAAGGGGAACAAAAUAGUUUGGCAGGGGAAAGAAUGCAAAAGAUUCAGCUAAUAAAUAUACAAGUGGGAUUGCAAGAUCAUCUUUCAAAGACUUAAUUUUUUCUUGAAUUCAAUAUGAAUUUUUUUUGUUGAAGUCACAAAUUCAAAAUGAAUCAACAGAAUCUAAUGUAUCAAUUUUUGACCAUAAACAUUAUUAUUUAUUAGUAUUAUAACUUCAGAAAA